rnacentral:tmRNA from 1 species
GGGGAUGUACUGGUUUCGACAUAUUACCAGAAACAUGGAUUGCAAGUAGUGGAUGGUUGCUUUGGCCACUUAAAAAAAGCAAAAUUAAAUAUAAACGCUGAUAGAGAAGAAUUAGCAUUAGCUGCCUAAGAGCAGCUACACUUUACUAGAAAGCCCACAUUUUUAGAUAAAGUGACAAUUUAGUGGGAAACAAAACUACUUUUGCUUUUAAAGUAGUGGGUAUUUUAAAAAGCUAUAUUUUGGUAUAACCUGUUUGUUGGUGAUAUUAAAAUGAAUAUAAAAAACAAACUAAACUUGUAGAUAUCUAUGUGGAAAGUAUUAUGGAAAGGAGUUCGACUCUCCUCAUCUCCACCA